CGGAGAGAGAGCCCGGCUGCCGCGGUGGCCGCGCCGGCGACGGCGCGGUCACACAACGUUGCCCGACUCUCCGAGUCGCGCAACGCGCGCGCGAGGAAAGUCCCCCCACCAGUUCGGGCGGGUGACCGGACGCAAGUCCGGAGCGGGAGACCGCUGGCUCUGGAACAGAAACGACACGUCUCGGCCCGACCGAUGAUGCGCGCGAACCCGACCGCGAGGAAGGGGAGCUAACCCGCAGAGGACGGGCGUUUCUCGCACCCUCGGUGCGAGAGCCGCCGACAGGCGAGCGGCGGACGCCGCGCGCCGCGUGCGGUCGUUCGACGCGGUUCGAACCCGCGGGUCGCGCUCGGCGCGACUGACCGCACUGCGACGGCCGAGGAUCGAUGGAACGGCGAACCCUCACCGGUGCAAGCCCGCGCCGUGGUAGCCCGAACGCCCCGCGGCCCUUCGGGUCGCGGACGGCGCGGACGCUCAGCCGAAUGCCGGGCCGAACAGAAGGGGGCUUACUCCUCUCACCG
rnacentral:RNase_P_RNA from 2 species